rnacentral:rRNA from 1 species
GACGAAUGCUGGCGGCGUUCCUAAUACAUGCAAGUCGAACGCAGUGGGGACGGGUGAGUAACACGUGGGUAACCUCCCAUCAGAGGGGAUAACACUUGGAAACAGGUGCUAAACCGAUACUGAUGGAUGGACCCGCGGUGCAUUAGCCAGUUGGUGAGGUAACGGCUAACAAAGGCCACGAUGCAUAGCCGACCGAAGAGGGUGAUCGUCGAGACUGGGACUGAGACACGUCCCAGACUCCUCCGGGAGGCAGCAGUAGGGAAUCUUAGGCAAUGGACGAAAGUCUGACCGAGCAACGCCUCGUGAGUGAAGAAGGUUUUAGGAUCGUAAAACUCUGUUGUUAGAGAAGCGGUAUCUAACCAGAACGCCACGGCUAACUACGUGCCAGCAGCCGCGGUAAUAC